CCUUCGAUAGCUCAGUUGGUAGAGCGGUGGACUGUAGAAGCGAGUCGAGAGCGAUAGUAAUCCAUAGGUCACUGGUUCAAAUCCGGUUCGAAGGA
rnacentral:tRNA from 2 species